UCCUCGGUAGUAUAGUGGUGAGUAUCCCCGCCUGUCACGCGGGAGACCAGGGUUAAAUUCUCCGCCGGGGAG
rnacentral:tRNA from 1 species